CCAAUAGCGUAUAUUAAAGUUGUUGCAGUUAAAAAGCUCGUAGUUGAAUUUCGGGACCAAUCUGCCGGUCGUGCCUCUGGUACGCACUGGUUUUAUUGGUUUCUCCCUUCUGACGAACCAUAAUGUCAUUAAUUUGGUGUCAUGGGGAAUCAGGACUGUUACUUUGAAAAAAUUAGAGUGUUUAAAGCAGGCUCACGCUUGAAUACAUUAGCAUGGAAUAAUGAAAUAGGACGUUUGACCCUAUUUUGUUGGUUUCUAGGAUCGACGUAAUGAUUAAUAGGGAUAGUUGGGGGCAUUAGUAUUCAAUUGUCAGAGGUGAAAUUCUUGGAUUUAUUGAAGACUAACUACUGCGAAAGCAUUUGCCAAGGAUGUUUUCAUUAAUCAAGAACGAAAGUUAGGGGAUCGAAGACGAUCAGAUACCGUCGUAGUCUUAACCAUAAACUAUGCCGACUAGGGAUCGGAUGAUGUUAUUUUUUAAUGACUCAUUCGGCACCUUACG
rnacentral:misc_RNA from 1 species